GAUGAACGCUGGCGGCGUGCUUAACACAUGCAAGUCGAACGGGAAACAUUUUAUUGAAGCUUCGGCGGAUUUAGCUUGUUUCUAGUGGCGGACGGGUGAGUAACGCGUGGGUAACCUGCCUUAUACCGGGGGAUAACAGCCAGAAAUGGCUGCUAAUACCGCAUAAGCGCACGGAGCCGCAUGGCUCUGUGUGAAAAACUCCGGUGGUAUAAGAUGGACCCGCGUUGGAUUAGCUAGUUGGCAGGGCAGCGGCCUACCAAGGCGACGAUCCAUAGCCGGCCUGAGAGGGUGAACGGACACAUUGGGACUGAGACACGGCCCAGACUCCUACGGGAGGCAGCAGUGGGGAAUAUUGCACAAUGGGGGAAACCCUGAUGCAGCGACGCCGCGUGAAGGAAGAAGUAUCUCGGUAUGUAAACUUCUAUCAGCAGGGAAGAUAAUGACGGUACCUGACUAAGAAGCCCCGGCUAACUACGUGCCAGCCGCCGCAGUAA
rnacentral:rRNA from 1 species